rnacentral:rRNA from 1 species
UAGGGAAUCUUCCACAAUGGGCGCAAGCCUGAUGGAGCAACACCGCGUGAGUGAAGAAGGGUUUCGGCUCGUAAAACUCUGUUGUUAAAGAAGAACAUAUCUGAGAGUAACUGUUCAGGUAUUGACGGUAUUUAACCAGAAAGCCACGGCUAACUACGUACCAG